UUCAAGCUGGCUUAAAAUACUUUUGU
rnacentral:piRNA from 1 species